rnacentral:rRNA from 1 species
GACGUAGGGGCGCGAGCGUUGUCCGGAUUUAUUGGGCGUAAAGAGCUCGUAGGCGGCUUGUUGCGUCGACUGUGAAAACCCGCGGCUUAACCGCGGGCUUGCAGUUGAUACGGGCAGGCUAGAGUUCGGUAGGGGAGACUGGAAUUCCUGGUGUAGCGGUGAAAUGCGCAGAUAUCAGGAGGAACACCGGUGGCGAAGGCGGGUCUCUGGGCCGAUACUGACACUGAGGAGCGAAAGCGUGGGGAGCGAACAGG